UUCGUCUUUAUUAUGUCAGUCUAGCAUUUAAACAGAAUUUGUAUCUAUGCUCUCAUUACUUUCGUCUCUACUUUAUAUUGCUACAACUAUGUUUAGCAGUCUAGUAAAUAAUUCAGCACGGUAGAAAAGUUUACGAUUUUUUUUCUAUUUAUUAUAAAAUGGCCAUACAUCUUUAAUACCUACACAUAUUCAUGGAUGUGAAUAAUUCAGCACACUAAAGUUUAUAAACUAAAUCAUUUCAGAUGCCCAGCUAAAUAUUUCAUAUAAUCGGUUACUUAUAAUUCUGGUUGCUAUGUUGUCAUCAAUCAUGUUAACUAUAUAUUUGACAC
rnacentral:lncRNA from 1 species